UACGUAGGGUGCAAGCGUUGUCCGGAAUUAUUGGGCGUAAAGAGCUCGUAGGCGGUUUGUCGCGUCUGCUGUGAAAACCCGAGGCUCAACCUCGGGCCUGCAGUGGGUACGGGCAGUCUAGAGUCCGGAAGAGGAGAGUGGAAUUCCUGGUGUAGCGGUGAAAUGCGCAGAUAUCAGGAAGAACAUCAGUGGCGAAGGCGGCCUGCUGGGCUGUUGCUGACGCUGAGGCGCGACAGCGUGGGGAGCAAACAGG
rnacentral:rRNA from 1 species